rnacentral:rRNA from 1 species
AACGAACGCUGGCGGCAUGCCUAAUACAUGCAAGUCGAACGAGAUCUUCCUAUCUAGUGGCGCACGUGUGCGUAACGCCUGGUAAUCUGCCCUUGGGUUCCGUAUCCCUUCUGGUAACGGAAGCUAAUACCGGUUGGUGACGUAAGUCCAAAGAUUUGUCGCCCAAGGAUGGGCCCGCGUAGGUUUCGGUAGUUGGUGAGGUAAAGGCUCGUCAAGCCGACGAUCCUUAGCUGGUUUGAUAGGAUGAUCAGCCACACUGGGACUGCGACACGGCCCAGACCCCUAGGCAGGGCAGCAGAAGGGAAUAUUGGGGGAUGAGCGAAAGCGUGAUACAGCAGUGCGGCGUGAGAGAUGAAGGGCUUAGGGUUCUAAAGCUCUUUGACCCGAGAUGAUAAUGACGGUACCGGGAAAAGAAGCACCGGCUAACUACGUG